AAGAGUAUAGUUUAAUAGGUAAAGUCUGAAGCUCCAAACUUCAAAUUCUCAGUUCAAGUCUGAGUACUCUUG
rnacentral:tRNA from 1 species